rnacentral:rRNA from 1 species
UACAGAGGGGGCAAGCGUUGUUCGGAAUUACUGGGCGUAAAGGGCGCGUAGGCGCCUUCUAAGUCGAACGUGAAAUCCCCGGGCUCAACCCGGGAACUGCGUCCGAUACUGGAAGGCUUGAAUCCGGGAGAGGGAUGCGGAAUUCCAGGUGUAGCGGUGAAAUGCGUAGAUAUCUGGAGGAACACCGGUGGCGAAGGCGGCAUCCUGGACCGGCAUUGACGCUGAGGCGCGAAAGCCAGGGGGAGCAAACGGG